rnacentral:rRNA from 1 species
AUUGAACGCUGGCGGCAGGCCUAACACAUGCAAGUCGAGCGAGCGGCGGACGGGUGAGUAAUGUCGGGGAAACUGCCUGAUGGAGGGGGAUAACUACUGGAAACGGUAGCUAAUACCGCAUACCAUCAGAUGUGCCCAGAUGGGAUUAGCUAGUAGGUGGGGUAACGGCUCACCUAGGCGACGAUCCCUCGCUGGUCUGAGAGGAUGACCAGCCACACUUGAACUGAGACACGCUCCAGACGCCUACGGUAGGCAGCAGUGACGAAUAUUACACAAUUGGCGAAAGCCUGACCCAGCCAUGCCGCGUGUGUGAAGAAGGUCUUCGGAUUGUAAAGCACUUUAAGUUGGGAGGCGUUACCAACCGAAUAAGCACCGGCUAACUUCGUGCCAGCAGCCGCGGUAAUUC